CGUUUGACGUUAGCGACAGAAGAAGCACCGGCUAACUCCGUGCCAGCAGCCGCGGUAAUACGGAGGGUGCGAGCAUUAAUCGGAAUUACUGGGCGUAAAGCGCAUGCAGGUGGUUUGUUUAAGUCAGAUGUGAAAGACCCGGGGCGUCAACCUCGGAAUAGCAUUUGAAACUAGGCAGACUAGAGUACUGUAGAGGGGGGUAGGAAUUUCAGGUGUAGCGGUGAAAUGCGUAGAGAUCUGAAGGAAUACCGGUGGCGAAGGCGGCCCCCUCGGACAGAUACUGACACUCAGAUGCGAAAGCGUGGGGAGCAAACAGGAUUAGAUACCCUGGUAG
rnacentral:rRNA from 1 species